UGUUUGCGUACUUGUGUUUCGAGUUGCGUGGUCGUGCGGAGUUAUAUUUACCAAAUUUAAAUCCGUUCCAACAUGCUGUCAAAAUUAAAUCAAUAUGUCAAUAUGGCUACUGGGUGUAAAAGAUAAAUCUUAUUCUAUCUGUUCUUAAUGAGUUUUAGAUAAUUUUAGUUGUAUUUCUUUGUAAUUUUGUGUUGUACAAAGAUUAAUUUAACAUUUUCUCUGGAAGUAUUAAUUUAGAAAGAUAAUAAUAUGCUUCAUUGGUGUUGUGUUUUGAAGUGUGAAAUGCAAAGUAAUUGUGAUAAAGUCAAGAUAAAGUUCACUUUUAAACUGAACUAAAUAAGGUAUCUGAGAGACAACAAUGGUUAAAUGCAAUACAAUGUACAGGUUUUACUAGCGAAAUGAAAAUUUUCCUGUCCUGUCUGCUGUAAUCAUUUUAUAUCUGGUAAGUUACAAUUACAACAGUAACGAUUUUUGAAGAUGUUAACAUUUUAAUCUUAUAGGAAAACCAGCCGACUUAAUCGAUAAUAACAAUCUCCAGAUUGGGUUCCUUCAAUAAAUAUGGGCUAUAAACACAAUGAAAUAAGUUCCCCAAAAUCUAAAAUGGAGUGGUAUCAAAGGAGAAUUAAAGGAAAAAAUAUUCAUAUUGAAAUUAUUUAUAAGGCACUGGACUGUCUUAAAUUCUACAAUAAUACUAGAAUCAGCUGAGAGAAGUGGUCUACAAAAAACCAGGAAGGAAACGGAAUAUGUGGCUACGAAAGGCAAAAGAAAGGUUUACAAAGCAAAUGUGACACAUUUUUUUGAAAUAUUUAGGAAUAUCAGUAAAUUGCAUUAAAAGAAUGUAUGAAAAGAUUUUGUUCAAUAAAAAUGUUUAUAUUUA